rnacentral:rRNA from 1 species
UGGCGACCUUAGCGCGGUGGUCCCACCUGACCCCAUGCCGAACUCAGAAGUGAAACGCCGUAGCGCCGAUGGUAGUGUGGGGUCUCCCCAUGCGAGAGUAGGGAACUGCCAGGCA